rnacentral:rRNA from 1 species
AUUGAACGCUGGCGGCAUGCUUUACACAUGCAAGUCGAACGGCGGCACGGGUGCUUGCACCUGGUGGCGAGUGGCGAACGGGUGAGUAAUGCAUCGGAACGUGCCCAUGAGUGGGGGAUAGCCCGGCGAAAGCCGGAUUAAUACCGCAUACGCCCUUAGGGGGAAAGCGGGGGAUCUUCGGACCUCGCGCUAUUGGAGCGGCCGAUGUCGGAUUAGCUAGUAGGUGAGGUAAAGGCUCACCUAGGCGACGAUCCGUAGCUGGUCUGAGAGGAUGAUCAGCCACACUGGGACUGAGACACGGCCCAGACUCCUACGGGAGGCAGCAGUGGGGAAUUUUGGACAAUGGGCGCAAGCCUGAUCCAGCCAUGCCGCGUGAGUGAAGAAGGCCUC